rnacentral:rRNA from 1 species
CAGUAGCCGCGGGAAUACAGAGGGUGCGAGCGUUAAUCGGAUUUACUGGGCGUAAAGCGUGCGUAGGCGGCUUCUUAAGUCGGAUGUGAAAUCCCUGAGCUUAACUUAGGAAUUGCAUUCGAUACUGGGAAGCUAGAGUAUGGGAGAGGAUGGUAGAAUUCCAGGUGUAGCGGUGAAAUGCGUAGAGAUCUGGAGGAAUACCGAUGGCGAAGGCAGCCAUCUGGCCUAAUACUGACGCUGAGGUGCGAAAGCAUGGGGAGCAAACAGGAUUAGAUACCCCCGUAGUCCCUGUCUCUUAUAC